GGAUGGACUUUGAAUAUGCGACCUUUCGGUAGUCGGCCGUUCCCAUCUCCUGAUUUUCGAGUCUUAAAAGCUUACAUCAAUGGAGAUGACUCUCAUCUUCCCCCUAACCUGUUUUAAAUUCUUACCUGAAUCGACCAGAUCUGAGAUGGAUAGAUUGUUUAAAAAAUCUAUACAUCUACACAUACGAGAGAGAGGGAGAGACAAGAUCCAGGGGAGAUGAUGACACGAUUCAAUGGCGGUUGAAGAAGAUCCAACGGUGGCGAUGGUGGUUUCAAGGUGAUCCUGCUACUACAAUGAAGAUGAUGUCGAAAUUAGUGGCUGAAGAUUCCGAGCUGAUGCCUUCAAAAAGGUUUAAGGAAGCUGAUGGGUUGCAUGAAAUAUAACAGUAUUGAUUUCAGUAAAGAGGAAGCUGGGAAACUAAUUUGACGUAAUUUGUUAAAAGAUGUAGCUUUUGGUGUUUUUUGUGCAGAAAAUUAAGGUAUGAUACAGAUACACUACAUCUUAUACAUAUUGCUCUGCUAUCUUGUAAAUUCUCAGUGUCUCCAUUUAGUUUAUGAGAUUGUUAGUUGAGUUUAUAUGUAUAUAUGUAAUAUUGGGUUUUAAACUCUUCAUUUUCUUGAGUUUGCUACAUAUGUAAAGGCGUCGUAUAGUUUAGGGCGGCAACUGGCAACGGCAUACCAGGAAGACAAACAGACGCAGACGCUGCAUCAUCUUCUUCAACGGGAUUCCGCUCAUCUUCUUUAUAUGGAGAUUCGAGAUUGCAACAGGUUAGAGAAACUCAGAAACAGUCGAACAAAGUAAUUGUUUUAUUGUGAUAUCCCACUAGGUUUAUAUGUAAUCCGUGGCGAAAGAGAAUAUUGUUUUAAUUGUUCUGUAAUGACAGAAAACAUGAGUAAAGGAUUGAUCCUCAUAUGCAAUGGAUUUCUUAUGUGACCCAAUGUCGCGACCAAAAUCCACCAGAUAUUGGUUUUUCAAAGUACAUCCUAUGCUUAGUACUCAGGAAGAUCAAUAUACAUUCACUAUUUUUUCAGCUUUGAGGACCAUAAGUAGGAAAUAGGCGUCCCUGGUAACGAUUACUAUCUUGGUUUUAAAAAGCGCGCAUGAAGCGUGCUUAAGUGCGAGGCGCACACCCUGGGGAUUUGUCGCUCAGCGCCUAGAGUAAUUACAAGAAGCGCUAAAAAGGCGCACUUUUUUGGCAUGAGGCUCGCGCCUCUCGUACCCGAGGCGUUUUUAUGCAUCUAACUGCGGUACCUUGGGUUUUUUUGCCUGUACUUCAAGCCACCAACUCCAAAUCUAAAGCCUAAAGAGCGUCUAUAUUUAGCGUCUCAGAGAUCUGGACAUCAAAUGAGCACAUCUGAUCAUUAAUUUCAGACAAAAAUCGUCUUUUUCGGUCGAUUGUCUCCAAAUUUGAGCCAGCUUCUGCAACGUAUUAUCCAAGGAAGUUUUGACAUGUGCGACUUUGCAGUGGGGUUAAGCCGAAAACUAAAUGGGUCAGUCAUACCCUCUGAACGUGAGGCCCUAUUUCUAACUCAAUUUUUUUUUUUUGAAAUAUGAUAAGAUCAACCCCUCUAACUGUGGAUUAUUUUGCUUGUGAAUUUGCACACAUGUAUGAUUAGUACAAAUAUUUUGUUUUAGU
rnacentral:lncRNA from 1 species